rnacentral:rRNA from 1 species
CAGCCGCGGUAAUACGUAGGUGGCAAGCGUUGUCCGGAAUUAUUGGGCGUAAAGGGCUCGCAGGCGGUUUCUUAAGUCUGAUGUGAAAGCCCCCGGCUCAACCGGGGAGGGUCAUUGGAAACUGGGAAACUUGAGUGCAGAAGAGGAGAGCGGAAUUCCACGUGUAGCGGUGAAAUGCGUAGAGAUGUGGAGGAACACCAGUGGCGAAGGCGACUCUCUGGUCUGUAACUGACGCUGAGGAGCGAAAGUGUGGGGAGCGAACAGGAUUAGAUACCCCCGUAGUCCCUGUCUCUUAUACACA